GAUGAACGCUGGCGGCGUGCCUAAUACAUGCAAGUCGAGCGAACAGACGAGGAGCUUGCUCCUCUGACGUUAGCGGCGGACGGGUGAGUAACACGUGGAUAACCUACCUAUAAGACUGGGAUAACUUCGGGAAACCGGAGCUAAUACCGGAUAAUAUAUUGAACCGCAUGGUUCAAUAGUGAAAGACGGUUUUGCUGUCACUUAUAGAUGGAUCCGCGCCGCAUUAGCUAGUUGGUAAGGUAACGGCUUACCAAGGCAACGAUGCGUAGCCGACCUGAGAGGGUGAUCGGCCACACUGGAACUGAGACACGGCCCAGACUCCUACGGGAGGCAGCAGUAGGGAAUCUUCCGCAAUGGGCGAAAGCCUGACGGAGCAACGCCGCGGGAGUGAUGAAGGUCUUCGGAUCGUAAAACUCUGUUAUUAGGGAAGAACAAAUGUGUAAGUAACUAUGCACGUCUUGACGGUACCUAAUCAGAAAGCCACGGCUAACUACGUG
rnacentral:rRNA from 1 species